rnacentral:rRNA from 2 species
UGGGGAAUAUUGCACAAUGGGGGAAACCCUGAUGCAGCGACGCCGCGUGAGUGAAGAAGUAUUUCGGUAUGUAAAGCUCUAUCAGCAGGGAAGAAAAUGACGGUACCUGACUAAGAAGCCCCGGCUAACUACGUGCCAGCAGCCGCGGUAAUACGUAGGGGGCAAGCGUUAUCCGGAUUUACUGGGUGUAAAGGGAGCGUAGACGGCGAAGCAAGUCUGAAGUGAAAGCCCGGGGCUCAACCGCGGGACUGCUUUGGAAACUGUUUUGCUAGAGUGCUGGAGAGGUAAGUGGAAUUCCUAGUGUAGCGGUGAAAUGCGUAGAUAUUAGGAGGAACACCAGUGGCGAAGGCGGCUUACUGGACAGUAACUGACGUUGAGGCUCGAAAGCGUGGGGAGCAAACA